GAUCAUGAACUCUAAUGUAUGUGAUCUCAUAGGUCCAAACCUAAGCCGGUAGUACAGGAAUAAAUUUCUGUACCAAUCGAAGUGAUCAUCUAGCAAUGGUACCCGACGAUCGGAUAGGUCGAAUGUGUAGAACAACAUCCUUAGAACCCAUGUGGAUAUAGUUUUCAUAUAAUUCAUCCCCUUGAUCAAAAUGAUCAUAGGACAUCCCAGAGUUCAACUGUCAACUCUGAUCAGGUUAUCCACUUUGUAUUUCAAAAUAUCAAAUCCAUCUGAUGGAUUACCCUGGCCAAGAUUUUACUAAAUUGAAAUACAGCGACUCAUUCUUCUCCAACUCUUGGAGUGGUCAAUCCCAUCUCGAUCAUACUCUGACUUCACAAGUACUUGACUGUGCCCAGAAGCCUUCCAUCCC
rnacentral:lncRNA from 1 species